rnacentral:rRNA from 1 species
UAGGGAAUCUUCGGCAAUGGGGGCAACCCUGACCGAGCAACGCCGCGUGAGUGAAGAAGGUUUUCGGAUCGUAAAGCUCUGUUGUAAGAGAAGAACGAGUGUGAGAGUGGAAAGUUCACACUGUGACGGUAUCUUACCAGAAAGGGACGGCUAACUACGUGCCAGCAGCCGCGGUAAUACGUAGGUCCCGAGCGUUGUCCGGAUUUAUUGGGCGUAAAGCGAGCGCAGGCGGUUAGAUAAGUCUGAAGUUAAAGGCUGUGGCUUAACCAUAGUACGCUUUGGAAACUGUUUAACUUGAGUGCGGAAGGGGAGAGUGGAAUUCCAUGUGUAGCGGUGAAAUGCGUAGAUAUAUGGAGGAACACCGGUGGCGAAAGCGGCUCUCUGGUCUGUAACUGACGCUGAGGCUCGAAAGCGUGGGGAGCGAACAGGAUUAGAUACCCUGGUAGUCCACGCCGUAAACGAUGAGUGCUAGGUGUUAGGUCCUUUCCGGGACUUAGUGCCGCAGCUAACGCAUUAAGCACUCCGCCUGGGGAGUACGACCGCAAGGUUG